AUUGAACGCUGGCGGCAGGCCUAACACAUGCAAGUCGAGCGGAUGAAGGUAGCUUGCUAUCUGAUUCAGCGGCGGACGGGUGAGUAAUGCCUAGGAAUCUGCCUGGUAGUGGGGGACAACGUUUCGAAAGGAACGCUAAUACCGCAUACGUCCCACGGGAGAAAGUGGGGGAUCUUCGGACCUCACGCUAUCAGAUGAGCCUAGGUACGAUUAGCGGGUUGGUGAGGUAAGGGCUCACCAAGGCGACGAUCGUUAACUGGUCUGAGAGGAUGAUAAGUCACACUGGAACGGAGACACGGUCCAGACUCCUACGGGAGGCAGCAGUGGGGAAUAUUGGACAAUGGGCGAAAGCCUGAUCCAGCCAUGCCGCGUGUGUGAAGAAGGUCUUCGGAUUGUAAAGCACUUUAAGUUGGGAGGAAGGGCAGUAAGUUAAUACCUUGCUGUUUUGACGUUACCAACAGAAUAAGCACCGGCUAACUUCGUGCCAGCAGCCGCCGUAACAC
rnacentral:rRNA from 1 species